GGCACUUCAAUCUUUUGUCUUGCCCAUUCACCCUCUGAAUGGCACACAUACACGUCUCAAUUGUCUCAAGGCUUAAACGUCCUUCUUCAACCUGUCUCCUCCCCUUCAUCUACACUGAUUGAAGUUGACUUAACAAGUGAGAUCAAUAAGUGAUCAUAUCUUUCACCUGGUCAGUCUGUCAUGGAAUAAAAAGCCAUUUAUACUGAGAAACCUUGAGUACAGAGUCAAUUAACACGAGGCAUUACCAGUAACACAAGAUGUCCGCAUCACGCUAGAUCUAUACGCUAGCUUCUCUCUGAUACCAUUACAGUCACCCAGUCUAAUGCCAAGUCACCCAGUCUAAUGCCAAGUCACCCAGUCUAAUGCCAAGUCACCCAGUCUAAUGCCAAGUCACCCAGUCUAAUGCCAAGUCACCCAGGUUGAGAUGCCAAGUCACCCAGUCUAAGAUGCCAAGUCACCCAGUCUAAGAUGCCAAGUCACCCAGUCUUAGAUGCCAAGUCACCCAGGUUGAGAUGCCAAAUCACCCAGUCUAAUGCCAAGUCACCCAGUCUAAUGCCAAGUCACCCAGUCUAAUGCCAAGUCACCCAGGUUGAGAUGCCAAGUCACCCAGGUUGAGAUGCCAAGUCACCCAGUCUAAUGCCAAGUCACCCAGGUUGAGAUGCCAAGUCACCCAGGUUGAGAUGCCAAGUCACCCAGGUUGAGAUGCCAAGUCACCCAGGUUGAGAUGCCAAGUCACCCAGUCUAAUGCCAAGUCACCCAGUCUAAUGCCAAGUCACCCAGGUUGAGAUGCCAAGUCACCCAGGUUGAGAUGCCAAGUCACCCAGUCUAAUGCCAAGUCACCCAGGUUGAGAUGCCAAGUCACCCAGGUUGAGAUGCCAAGUCACCCAGGUUGCGAUGCCAAGUCACCCAGGUUGCGAUGCCAAGUCACCCAGUCUGAGAUGCCAAGUCACCCAGGUUGAGAUGCCAAGUCACCCAGGUUGAGAUGCCAAGUCACCCAGGUUGAGAUGCCAAGUCACCCAGUCUGAGAUGCCAAGUCACCCAGUCUGAGAUGCCAAGUCACCCAGUCUGAGAUGCCAAGUCACCCAGUCUGAGAUGCCAAGUCACCCAGUCUGAGAUGCCAAGUCAC